rnacentral:rRNA from 1 species
AUUGAACGCUGGCGGCAGGCCUAACACAUGCAAGUCGAACGGUAGCACAGAGAGCUUGCUCUCGGGUGACGAGUGGCGGACGGGUGAGUAACGUCUGGGAAACUGCCCGAUGGAGGGGGAUAACUACUGGAAACGGUAGCUAAUACCGCAUAACGUCGCAAGACCAAAGUGGGGGACCUUCGGGCCUCACACCAUCGGAUGUGCCCAGGUGGGAUUAGCUAGUAGGUGGGGUAAUGGCUCACCUAGGCGACGAUCCCUAGCUGGUCUGAGAGGAUGACCAGCGACACUGGCACUGAGACACGGUCCAGACUCCUACGGGAGGCAGCAGUGGGGAAUAUUGCACAAUGGGCGCAAGCCUGAUGCAGCCAUGCCGCGUGUAUGAAGAAGGCCUUCGGGUUGUAAAGUACUUUCAGCGGGGAGGAAGGCGGUGAAGUUAAUAGCUUCACCGAUUGACGUUACCCGCAGAAGAAGCACCGGCUAACUCCGUGCCAGCCGCCGCCGUAA